UACGGAGGGUGCAAGCGUUGUCCGGAUUUAUUGGGUUUAAAGGGUGCGUAGGCGGUUCCAUAAGUCAGUGGUGAAAUACGGCAGCUCAACUGUCGAGGUGCCAUUGAUACUGCGGAACUUGAGUACUGAUGAGGUAGGCGGAAUUGACGGUGUAGCGGUGAAAUGCUUAGAUAUCGUCAAGAACACCGAUAGCGAAGGCAGCUUACCAAGCAGUAACUGACGCUGAGGCACGAAGUGCGGGGAUCAAACAGG
rnacentral:rRNA from 1 species